GUACUACUCCCUCCGUCCGAAAAUACUUGUCAUCAAAAUGGAUAAAAAGAGAUAUAUCUAGAACUAAAAUAUGUCUAGAUACAUCCCCUUUUAUCCAUUUUGAUGACAAGUAUUUCCGGACGGAGGGAGUACUUU
rnacentral:pre_miRNA from 1 species